GACGAACGCUGGCGGCGUGCUUAACACAUGCAAGUCGAACGGAAAGGCCCUGCUUUUGUGGGGUGCUCGAAUGGCGAACGGGUGAGUAACACGUGAGUAACCUGCCCUUGACUGUGGGAUAACUUCAGGAAACUGGGGCUAAUACCGGAUAGGAGCUCCUGCUGCAUGGUGGGGGUUGGAAAGUUUCGGCGGUUGGGGAUGGACUCGCGGCUUAUCAGCUUGUUGGUGGGGUAGUGGCUUACCAAGGCUUUGCCGGGUAGCCGGGCUGAGAGUGUGACCCGACACAUAGGGACUGAGGUACGGCCCAGAGUACUACGGGAGGCAGCAGUGGGGAAUAUUGCACAAUGGGCGGAAGCCGGAUGCAGCAACGCCGCGUGCGGGAUGACGGCCUUCGGGUUGUAAACCGCUUUCGCCUGUGACGAAGCGUGAGUGACGGUAAUGGGUAAAGAAGCACCGGCUAACUACGUG
rnacentral:rRNA from 1 species